AUGGCGCAGGGGCUCGGCGUCGCGGAGGAGCACCGCGGCGUGCUGCGGCGGAUCGUGGCCGCGCCGGACGACGCCGGAGGGGCUGACGAGAUGGUGCGCGUGAACCAUUACCCGCCAUGCCCCUCCCCCGUGGCGUCGGGGCUGCGCGGCGUGACGGGGUUCGGGGAGCACACGGACCCGCAGAUCAUCUCCGUGCUCCGCUCCAACGGCACCGGGGGACUUCAGAUCAUGCUGCUGGACGGCCGCUGGGUCCCUGUGGCCCCCGACACCGAUUCCCUCUUCGUCAUCGUCGGGGACUCCCUCCAGGUGCUGACGAACGGGCGGUUCCGGAGCAUGAAGCACCGGGUGGUGGCGCCGGCGGAGGGGCAGCAGUCGCGGCUGUCGGUGAUCUACUUCGGCGGACCGGCGCCGACGCAGCGGAUCGCGCCGCUGCCGGAGCUGAUGCGGGAAGGGGAGCAGAGCCUGUACAGGGACUUCACCUGGGCCGAGUACAAGACGGCGGCCUACAAGUCCCGGCUCGGUGACCACCGCCUCGGCCCCUUCGAGCUACCUGCCGCAGCCGCCGCCGCCGCCCAAGAGUCCACUACCAAGGCCGGCCACCACUGUAUCAGCAACGCCGCCGUCCAGGCGCCGGCGCCGGCGCCUCACGUGGCACGAGUGCACUAG
rnacentral:rRNA from 1 species